rnacentral:rRNA from 1 species
GCACAAGCGGUGGAUGAUGUGGUUUAAUUCGAUGCAACGCGAAAACCUUACCCACCUUUGACAUGUACGGAAUCCUUUAGAGAUAGAGGAGUGCUCGAAAGAGAACCGUAACACAGGUGCUGCAUGGCUGUCGUCAGCUCGUGUCGUGAGAUGUUGGGUUAAGUCCCGCAACGAGCGCAACCCUUGUCAUUAGUUGCUACGAAAGGGCACUCUAAUGAGACUGCCGGUGACAAACCGGAGGAAGGUGGGGAUGACGUCAAGUCCUCAUGGCCCUUAUAGGUGGGGCUACACACGUCAUACAAUGGCUGGUACAAAGGGUUGCCAACCCGCGAGGGGGAGCCAAUCCCAUAAAGCCAGUCGUAGUCCGGAUCGCAGUCUGCAACUCGACUGCGUGAAGUCGGAAUCGCUAGUAAUCGUGGAUCAGCAUGUCACGGUGAAUACGUUCCCGGGUCUU